rnacentral:rRNA from 1 species
CUAAAGAGUAACGGAGGCGCUCAAAGGUUUCCUCAGAAUGGGUGGAAAUCAUUCAUAGAGUGUAAAGGCAUAAGGAAGCUUGACUGCGAGACUUACAAGUCGAGCAGGGUCGAAAGACGGACUUAGUGAUCCGGUGGUUCCGCAUGGAAGGGCCAUCGCUCAACGGAUAAAAGCUACCCCGGGGAUAACAGGCUUAUCUCCCCCAAGAGUUCACAUCGACGGGGAGGUUUGGCACCUCGAUGUCGGCUCAUCGCAUCCUGGGGCUGUAGUCGGUCCCAAGGGUUGGGCUGUUCGCCCAUUAAAGCGGUACGCGAGCUGGGUUCAGAACGUCGUGAGACAGUUCGGUCCCUAUCCGUCGUGGGCGUAGGAAAUUUGAGAGGAGCUGUCCUUAGUACGAGAGGACCGGGAUGGACAUACCUCUGGUGUACCAGUUGUCGUGCCAACGGCAUCGCUGGGUAGCUAUGUAUGGACGGGAUAAGUGCUGAAAGCAUCUAAGCAUGAAGCCCCCCUCAAGAUGAGAUUUCCCAACUUCGGUUAUAAGAUCCCUCAAAGAUGAUGAGGUUAAUAGGUUCGAGGUGGAAGCAUAGCGAUAUGUGGAGCUGACGAAUACUAAUCGAUCGAAGACUUAAUCAAAUU